CCCCUAGAUGUUCUGGGCCGCACGCGCGCUACACUGAACAGUUCAACAAGUCUUAACCUUGGCCGAUAGGUCUGGGUAAUCUUUGAACGCUGUUCGUGAUUGGGAUAGACCUUUGCAAUUAUGGGUCUUCAACGAGGAAUUCCUAGUAAACGCAAGUCAUCAGCUUGCAUUGAUUACGUCCCUGCCCUAUGUACACACCGCCCGUCGCACCUACCGAUUGAAUGGUCCGGUGAAAUCUCGGGACGGCGGCUUGGUCGCUUGCGUCCGACUGCUGAAACUUGAUUAAACCAUAUCAUUUAGAGGAAGGUGAAGUCGUAACA
rnacentral:rRNA from 1 species